rnacentral:rRNA from 1 species
CGCAGCCGCGGUAAUUCCAGCUCCAAUAGCGUAUAUUAAAGUUGUUGCAGUUAAAAAGCUCGUAGUUGAAUUUCGGGAUCAAUUUAUCGGUCGUGCCUAUGGUAUGAACUGGUACAAUUGGUUUCUCCCUUCUGACGAAGCAUGAUGUCAUUAAUUUGGUGUCGUGGGGAAUCAGGACUGUUACUUUGAAAAAAUUAGAGUGUUUAAAGCAAGCAUUAGCUUGAAUACAUUAGCAUGGAAUAAUGAAAUAGGACGUUUGAUCCUAUUUCGUUGGUUUCUAGGAUCGACGUAAUGAUUAAUAGGGAUAGUUGGGGGCAUUAGUAUUCAAUUGUCAGAGGUGAAAUUCUUGGAUUUAUUGAAGACUAACUACUGCGAAAGCAUUUGCCAAGGAUGUUUUCAUUAAUCAAGAACGAAAGUUAGGGGAUCGAAGACGAUCAGAUACCGUCGUAGUCUUAACCAUAAACUAUGCCGACUAGGGAUCGGAUGAUGUUAAUUUUUUAAUGUACUCAUUCGGCGUCCC